UGGAAACGCCCUCCGUUUCUCAAUUAGUUGCUGGUUUUAGUAGAGAAAUCAGCUGCCAAAUUGGCCGUGCGUGCCAUUUUUGCUCACGAUAUUUAGCUGGUGAAUCAGUAGCUGAGUUAUUUUUGACACACUCAGCAUCAAGAAGAAGAAGGAGAAGGGGAAGAACCAAACUAAAAGCAAUGACGAAACUUCCACCGGGAGAAGAAAAGAAAAUAUAUAUAGGCCACCACUAACUAAACCCCACCUCCAUCCACCUUCCGGCGAAACCAAUUCCAUCCUCGCUUUCGCAAGACUCUUCCUUUCUCCCCUUUCCUUUCCCAACCCAUCGUCGCCCCGGCCCGAGGUAACNN
rnacentral:lncRNA from 1 species